rnacentral:rRNA from 1 species
UACAGAGGGGGCAAGCGUUAUUCGGAAUUAUUGGGCGUAAAGGGCGCGUAGGCGGCUUUGCAAGUGACGGGUGAAAUCCCUCGGCUUAACCGAGGAACUGCCUGUCAAACUGCAUGGCUUGAGACCGGGAGAGGUGAGUGGAAUUCCCAGUGUAGCGGUGAAAUGCGUAGAUAUCUGGAGGAACACCGGUGGCGAAGGCGGCAUCCUGGACCGGCAUUGACGCUGAGGCGCGAAAGCCAGGGGAGCAAACGGG